UCUAAGUUAUUGUUCUGCGGUUUAAUGUCAUGAGAUCUUGGGUUAGGGGUUAUAUAUUAUUUGUAUUUUUUAUUUUUACCAUGCUCGUAUUCCAUACAAUAGCAGAAGAAAAGAUAUAAAGUGCCUAUUUCAGUGUAAUAGGAACUUUUAAUAAUUAGAAUUGUUAAAAAAUAAAACCAUGUCAACUUUAAGCAGGUGCAGAAGCCUUUUCAGUAAUACAUUUUAUAGUUCCAUAGUUAAUUUUGGGAGUAACCAUGCCAAGAUACAUAUAUUAAGUUGCAGCAAAGUGUUACGUUCAUCAACCAUUCGCACUAAUAGUGCCCUCACAACAAGGAGGAGUUUUUCCAAGACUUUCUCAGAACUAUUCAGGAGACUGAAGAAACCGGAACUCCAAACCAUGGACAAUGUGCCUCCUGAAUAUUGUUUAAUUUAUCGAAAUACAACGUACAGAUACAUUCUUGUUGCACAGAUAAUCACAGCAUUUUCAGCAGCUGUUGUUGUAUUAUGCACUGUAAUCCUUCCUGAUAUUCAAAAGUUUGAAUCGAAAACUUCUCCCCAGCAACCUGGAGGAGGGACACAGACACAACGAUAUAUUUAUUUAGCUGCAUUUAGUUUUUUGCUAGUCGUCUUACAAAUGUUGGUAUAUAAAUUACCAAUCAGAAUAUACUAUUUGUCUCCUCUAAAAAAAUAUGUUUAUGUAUUUUAUGGCAAUUAUCCCUUUACAUAUAGGAAAUUAACCUGUUCUGUAGGAGAUGUAAUGAAAUUACCAGAGGCAGCAAGUGUUUUGCCAUGGAAAGAAGUGAGAUACAUGAUCAAAAAUAAACAGGAAGUGUAUCUUAUGGAAAAUUAUUUCCGGAGACCCGGUGAUUUAUAUAUCAUGUUAGGUAUUCAGCGAGAUCCAGAAGAUGAUGAUGAUGAUGAUAAUAUGUAAAUGGAAUAGUAGAAAGCCAAAACCUUUCCCAAAAAUGUAAAUAAAAAGUUAG